GACGGAGGGUGCAAGCGUUGUUCGGAAUUACUGGGCGUAAAGGGCGCGUAGGCGGUUUGCUAAGUUCGGUGUGAAAGCCCCUGGCUCAACUGGGGAACGGCGCUGGAAACUGGCAGACUAGAGUACCGGAGAGGAGGGUGGAAUUCCUGGUGUAGCGGUGAAAUGCGCAGAUAUCAGGAGGAACACCGGUGGCGAAGGCGGGUCUCUGGGCCGUAACUGACGCUGAGGAGCGAAAGCGUGGGGAGCGAACAGG
rnacentral:rRNA from 1 species